UUGUAAGUGUGUAAGGGCGCAUGGUGGAUGCCUUGGCAUUGGGCGCCGAUGAAGGACGUGGGAGGCUGCGAUAAGCCUCGGGGAGCUGCCAACCGAGCGUGGAUCCGAGGGUGUCCGAAUGGGUAACCCGGCACGAGUGAUGUCGUGUCACCCGCAUCUGAAUGGAUAGGGUGCGGGGGGAACGCGGGAAGUGAAACAUCUCAGUACCCGUAGGAGAAGAAAACAACCGUGAUUCCGUUAGUAGUGGCGAGCGAACGCGGAGGAUGGCUAAACCGCGCGCAUGGGAUACCCGGCGGGGUUGUGUGUGCGGUGGUGGGCGUUUCGUCUCGGGCCGCCGGCCGGGCGGGAGUGAGAAACCGUGGUGUUAGCCGAAGUGGCCUGGGAUGGUCUGCCGUAGACGGUGAGAGCCCGGUAGGCGAAAACAUUACGGCUCCCGAGGAGGCGUUCCCGAGUAGCAGCGGCCCGUGGAAUCUGCUGUGAAUCGCCGGGACCACCCGGUAAGCUAAAUACGUCCCAAUGACCGAUAGCGGAAAAGUACCGUGAGGAAUGGUGAAAAGUACCCCGGGAGGGAGUGAAAGAGUACCUGAAACCGUGUGCCUACAAUCCGUCAAAGCCCCGGGUGGGGUGAUGGCGUGCCUUUUGAAGAAUGAGCCUGCGAGUCACUGGCAUGUCGCGAGGUAACCCGGGUGGUAGCCGCAGCGAAAGCGAGUCUGAAUAGGCGUAGCACGUGUUGAGCGUGUGUAGUGGCAUGUUGUGGACCCGAAGCGGGGUGAUCUACCCAUGGCCAGGGUGAAGCGCGGGUAAGACCGCGUGGAGGCCCGAACCCACUUAGGUUGAAGACUGAGGGGAUGAGCUGUGGGUAGGGGUGAAAGGCCAAUCAAACUCCGUGAUAGCUGGUUCUCCCGAAAUGCAUUUAGGUGCAGCGUCGCAUGGUUCACACCGGAGGUAGAGCUACUGGAUGGCCGAUGGGCCGACUAGGUUACUGACGUCAGCCAAACUCCGAAUGCCGGUGUGGUUAGUGUGGCAGUGAGACGGCGGGGAUAAGCUUCGCGCGUCGAAAGGGAAACAGCCCAGAUCGCCGGUUAAGGCCCUAAGGUGUGCUAAGUGGGAAAGGAUGUGCAGUCGCGAAGACAACCAGGAGGUGGCUUAGAAGCAGCCAUCCUUGAAAGAGUGCGUAAUAGCUCACUGGUCAAGUGGUUGUGCGCCGAUAAUGUAGCGGGCUCAAGCACACCGCCGAAGCCGCGGCAACACGUAGGUGUGGGUAGGGGAGCGUUCCCUCAUCGGGAAGCAGCAGAGUGAUCUGUUGUGAGGUGGGGAAGUGAGAAUGCAGGCAUGAGUAGCGAUAAGGCAAGUGAAACCUUGCCGCCGGAAGACCAAGGUUCCUGGGCCAGGCCAUCCGCCCGGGUGAGUCGGGACCUAAGGCGAGGCCGACAGGCGUAGUCGAUGGACAACGGGUUGAUAUCCCGUACCCGUGGGUGCGCGCCAUACCGAAUCGGAUCUGCUCACCCAAACGGUGGGUGAUCACGCCCUUUCGGGGUGUGGGCCCGCCGCUGCGUGGGGCCGGUCCGCUAGUAGGUAAGCGAGGGGUGACGCAGAAAGGUAGCCGUACCAGUCAGUGGUGAUACUGGGCAAGCCCGUAGGGAGUCGGAUAGGCAAUCCGUCCGGCGUGAAAUCCUGAGAGGUGAUGCAUAACCGGUUGAUGAAUUCGGUGAUCCUCUGCUGCCAAGAAAAGCCUCUAGCGAGUGCACGCACGGCCGUACCCAAACCGACACAGGUGUCAGGUAGAGAAUACCGAGGCGUACGAGUUAACUAUGGUUAAGGAACUCGGCAAAAUGCCCCGUAACUUCGGGAGAAGGGGACCGGAAUACCGUCAAGGCCCCGCGCCGGCAGCGGGAUCCGGUGGCACAAACCAGGGAGAAGCGACUGUUUACUAAAAACACAGGUCCGUGCGAAGUCGCAAGACGAGGUAUACGGACUGACGCCUGCCCGGUGCUGGAAGGUUAAGAGACCCGUCAACCCCGGUUUUGGGGUGAAGCGGAGAAUUUAAGCCCAGUAAACGGCGGUGGUAACUAUAACCAUCCUAAGGUAGCGAAAUUCCUUGUCGGGUAAGUUCCGACCUGCACGAAUGGCGUAACGACUUCUCCACUGUCUCAACCAUAGACUCGCGAAAUUGCACUACGAGUAAAGAUGCUCGUUACGCGCGGCAGGACGAAAAGACCCGGGACCUUCACUACAACUUGGUAUUGGAGUCCGUGCGGCUUGUGUAGGAUAGGUGGGAGACUAAGAAGCCGCACGCCAGUGCGGGUGGAGUCGUCGUUGAAAUACCACUCUGGCCGUAUUGGGUUUCUAACCUCGAACCCUGAACCGGGUUAGGGACAGUGCCUGGCGGGUAGUUUAACUGGGCGGUUGCCUCCCAAACGGUAACGGAGGCGCCCAAGGUUCUCAACCUGGACGGCAAUCAGGUGGCGAGUGCAAGUGCACAAGGGAGCUUGACUGCAAGACCCACACGUCAAGCAGGGACGAAAGUCGGGACUAGUGAUCCGGCACCCCGAGUGGAAGGGGUGUCGCUCAACGGAUAAAAGGUACCCCGGGGAAACAGGCUGAUCUUCCCCAAGAGUCCAUAUCGACGGGAUGGUUUGGCACCUCGAUGUCGGCUCGUCGCAUCCUGGGCUGGAGCAGGUCCCAAGGUUUGGCUGUUCGCCCAUUAAAGCGGCACGCGAGCUGGGUUAGAACGUCGUGAGACAGUUCGGUCUCUAUCCGCCGCGCGCGCCAGAAGCCUGAGGAAACCUGUCCCUAGUACGAGAGGACCGGGACGGACGAACCUCUGGUGCACCAGUUGUCCCGCCAGGGCACCGCUGGAUAGCCACGUUCGGCAAGGAUAACCGCUGAAAGCAUCUAAGCGGAAACCCCUUCCAAGACCAGGCUUCUCACCCAUCAAGUGGGAUAAGGCCCCCGCACAACACGGAUCAAUAGACCAGACCUAAACCCCGCAAGGGGCGAAGGCCACUGGCACUAACCGCCGAAAACUUACCCAC
rfam:Mycobacterium xenopi 3993 GMX3993.contig.10, whole genome shotgun sequence.